rnacentral:lncRNA from 1 species
AAGCGACUCAUCCCAGGGCAGUGUCAGAAUGGGGUUAGCGCUCAAGAGCUCUUGUCACCCAGGCCCGUGCUCGCAUUACUAAAGUGUAACUCUUUCCAGGCCUAGAUUCAUCCUCGAAGCCAAUCAGCUCAGCUCAUUCCUGGUGCCUUCCAGACCGCGCUGCGCUCAAUACACCGAACCUUUCAUGUGGAGAGCCAGGGCCGGCUCCAGGCACCAGGCAACCAAGCACAUGCUUGGGGCGGCACCUGCCCAAGGGCUCUUGGGGAAUCGUUGCCUUCCUUCUACCAUUUGGUUCCUUUAAAAAGUUGGCACAGUCCUCACGAUUCCAUUUGCAUCGGUUCAUCAUGCAACUUGACAGGAAUGAGCUGGUAGGAUCCAGCCAGCGUGGUUCCUGGAAAAGUGAAGCACAUCUAACUAUGUUCCGAAUCCUAGCUUUGCAAACUCAGAGCCAAAUUUUGCUGCCCUUCUUUACGUCACAUGGUGCUUUACUCUGCUGUCAAAUCAAUUUCCGUGGGACUAGUGGGGGAGUUAGGGAGUACUCGGGCAGAGUCUAGUCCUGAGACAACAAUGUAAACAAAUCUCAUAGCUCCGGGCAGAAGAGGAUCAGCUGGGUGAUCCAGGAAAGAACUUCCCCACCCUCACCCCCUUGCACAAUUUACUACCCGUAAUGGGUUGUUUUCAUCUUCCUCUGAAGCAUAAGAUAUUGACCAUUGUAGGAAGCAGGAUGCCGGACUCAGUGGUUUAAUCCAGGACUCGGUUUAACCAGGGUGGCAAAUUCUAUGUUUCUAGGAUUUGGGGGACUUCUCCCAAGGUAGGCAAAUGUGAACUUGAACCUGCAAUGGGAACAUUACCCCACUGCCCCCCAUGUAUUCUUAUAGACCCUAACACAUGUUAGGUGCUUACCCGCAUGCCUCUCCUCUCUCCCUAACAACUCCCAGGUCUCCUCCCUUCUUAACAUAGAUGCCUUCGGGGGAAGCUAGAGUUGAGGAAGGUGCACAUCUCGGGUCAGCUGUGCAAAUCUCCUCAGUCCAAGUUCCCUGACCUUUUGCUAGCAUGGUCUGAUGUUCCUGAAUGUGUUGGACCUCAGAGGCUGAGUCCAUGCACAUUUGGAGGUUCAGGUGACCACUCUACAAGUCUGAUAUCUGUC